rnacentral:rRNA from 1 species
UGCCAGCCGCCGCGGUAAUACGAAGGGACCUAGCGUUGUUCGGAAUUACUGGGCGUAAAGCGCACGUAGGCGGAUUGGAAAGUUGGGGGUGAAAUCCCGGGGCUCAACCCCGGAACUGCCUCCAAAACUAUCAGUCUAGAGUUCGAGAGAGGUGAGUGGAAUUCCAAGUGUAGAGGUGAAAUUCGUAGAUAUUAGGAAGAACAUCAGUGGCGAAGGCGACUCACUGGUCCGAUACUGACGCUGAGGUGCGAAAGCGUGGGGAGCAAACAGGAUUAGAUA